CCUGAACGCUGGCGGCGUGGCUAAGACAUGCAAGUCGAACGGGUGUAGCAAUACACCAGUGGCGGACGGGUGAGUAAUGUAUCGCUAACGUGCCCUGGAAUCUGAGAUAGCCAAUCGAAAGGUUGGGUAAUACCAGAUGAAAUAUCCUUAUCGCAUNAUGAGGAUCUCAAAGGAGCAAUCCGGUCUGGGAGCGGGCGAUAUCGUAUCAGCUAGUUGGUGAGGUAACGGCUCACCAAGGCGACGACGCGUAGCCGGGCUGAGAGGUCGGCCGGCCACAUUGGGACUGAGACACUGCCCAGACUCCGUACGGGGG
rnacentral:rRNA from 1 species